GAUGAACGCUGGCGGCGUGCCUAAUACAUGCAAGUCGAGCGAAUGGAUUAAGAGCUUGCUCUUAUGAAGUUAGCGGCGGACGGGUGAGUAACACGUGGGUAACCUGCCCAUAAGACUGGGAUAACUCCGGGAAACCGGGGCUAAUACCGGAUAACAUUUUGAACCGCAUGGUUCGAAAUUGAAAGGCGGCUUCGGCUGUCACUUAUGGUUGGAUCCGGGUCGCAUUAGCUAGUUGGUGAGGUAACGGCUCACCAAGGCAACGAUGCGUAGCCGACCUGAGAGGGUGAUCGGCCACACUGGGACUGAGACACGGCCCAGACUCCUACGGGAGGCAGCAGUAGGGAAUCUUCCGCAAUGGACGAAAGUCUGACGGAGCAACGCCGCGUGAGUGAUGAAGGCUUUCGGGUCGUAAAACUCUGUUGUUAGGGAAGAACAAGUGCUAGUUGAAUAAGCUGGCACCUUGACGGUACCUAACCAGAAAGCCACGGCUAACUACGUGCCAGCAGCCGCCGUAA
rnacentral:rRNA from 1 species